rnacentral:rRNA from 1 species
AAUUUGAUCUGGUUCAGGAUGAACGCUAGCUACAGGCUUAACACAUGCAAGUCGAGGGGCAGCAUUGGAGUAGCAAUACUCAGAUGGCGACCGGCGCACGGGUGAGUUAACACGUAUCCAACCUGCCGCUUACUCGGGGAUAGCCUUUCGAAAGAAAGAUUAAUACCCGGAUGGUAUAAAGAGUUCGCAUGUUCUCUUUAUUAAAGAAUUUCGGUAAGCGAUGGGGAUGCGUUCCAUUAGAUAGUUGGCGGGGUAACGGCCCACCAAGUCUACGAUGGAUAGGGGUUCUGAGAGGAAGGUCCCCCACAUUGGAACUGAGACACGGUCCAAACUCCUACGGGAGGCAGCAGGUGAGGAAUAUUGGUCAAUGGACGAGAGUCUGAACCAGCCAAAAGUAGCGUGAAGGAUGACUGCCCUAUUGGGUUGUAAACUUCUUUUAUAAGGGAAUAAAGUGAGGGACGUGUCCCUUUUUGUAUGUACCUUAUGAAUAAGGAUCGGCUAACUCCGUGCCAGCCGCCGC